UACGUAGGGCGCAAGCGUUAUCCGGAAUUAUUGGGCGUAAAGAGCUCGUAGGCGGUUUGUCGCGUCUGCCGUGAAAGUCCGGGGCUCAACUCCGGAUCUGCGGUGGGUACGGGCAGACUAGAGUGCAGUAGGGGAGACUGGAAUUCCUGGUGUAGCGGUGAAAUGCGCAGAUAUCAGGAGGAACACCGGUGGCGAAGGCGGCUCUCUGGACCGACACUGACGCUGAGGCGCGAAAGCGUGGGGAGCAAACAGG
rnacentral:rRNA from 1 species